rnacentral:rRNA from 1 species
GACGAACGCUGGCGGCGUGCUUAACGCAUGCAAGUCGAACGAUGAAGCCGGAGCUUGCUCCGGUGGAUUAGUGGCGAACGGGUGAGUAACACGUGAGCAAUCUGCCCUUGACUCUGGGAUAACUGCGGGAAACUGUAGCUAAUACCGGAUACGACACCUUGGGGCAUCCCAGGGUGUGGAAAGAAUUUCGGUCAAGGAUGAGCUCGCGGCCUAUCAGCUAGUUGGUGAGGUAAUGGCUCACCAAGGCGACGACGGGUAGCCGGCCUGAGAGGGUGACCGGCCACACUGGAACUGAGACACGGUCCAGACUCCUACGGGAGGCAGCAGUGGGGAAUAUUGCACAAUGGGCGAAAGCCUGAUGCAGCAACGCCGCGUGAGGGAUGAAGGCCUUCGGGUUGUAAACCUCUUUUAGCAGGGAAGAAGCGAGAGUGACGGUACCUGCAGAAAAAGCACCGGCUAACUACGUGCCAGCAGCCGCCGUAA